UGCAGUAAGCUAAAAUUUGAUCCAAUGUUAUCAGAUCCAAACAGAGAUGGUGCCAUCAAUGCUGAUCAUUUGAGAAAAAUCGAGUCUAUUGUGAAUCAGCAAAUAAAACCUGAGUUAGAUGUAUAUUCAAAGGAGGUAACGCUUGCUGAAGCCAAGCGUAUCAACGGUUUGCGAGCCGUAUUUGGAGAAGUUUAUCCUGAUCCAGUUAGAGUAGUGGCCAUUGGUUAAGAAGGUGGAGGACCUCCUUGCUGAUCCUGAAAACAAAGAAUGGUCAUCCAUCUCAUUGGAACUGUGUGGAGGCAUGCACCUAACAAAUACACGGGAAGCAAGGGCAUUUGCCCUUUUAUCUGAAGAGGGAAUCGCUAAAGGGGUUCGAAGGAUAACUGACAAUGGUUCUUGCCAUGAAAGAAAAGUUCGAGAAUGAAAUGAGCUAUUAUGCUUUCUCAAUAUGAAGUCUUUUCCAUGAAGAUCAAAAGUGGGCAAUGAUUUGUAUUCUUUUGUGCCAUAAGAGUUCAAGAAACAAGCUCGAAGUAGAAGUCCAUGGUUUGGAUUUAGAUAAUCUGUUGGAGUCUUAGCAGCAGCCAACCUGCACCAUAUCAUCUUUGUUCUGCCGCUGUUGAUGUUCAUGCGAGGAUUUACGACUGAACGCUCCACUGUAAAAGAAAAAGGGAAAUAUUUUACUUUUCUUCAAGCCCUACGAUAUUGAGAAAGCAAAGCUUGGGGUUGUUUGUGAAAAGUGCAAGGAAGCCAAUAGAAAUCUUGUAAAUUAAACAAAAUGACAGGGUAUACUCCUGAUGAAGAGUCCAAUCUUUAUGAGGAUGUAGUGCAGUUGAUCAGUCAAAUACGUCAUCGUACUCUACAUGAACGAGAAGUGGGCCAUUUUAACAUGUUAAUGAAGUUCAGGCAUAAUCAAUUCU